AAAAUAUCCUAAAUUAGCUAAUAUCUAAAAGGAAGAUUGACAUACAGAGAAUGAGUCGACGCGAGAUAAAGAGAUAGAGGCCAAUAUCUAGAUCCAGAUCCAAAUAAAGAGAGAGUUCGAAAUCUUGAUAGAUCAAGACCAAUGAACUAAAAAUUCGUUAGUCAAACAUGGAGUUUGGUCUGAAAUUUUAAUUGAUGGAGGCUUUCCCGAUUUAGAUUGAGAUAAAAAUAACAUCAUUAUUUGGUAUGUCUUAAAUGACCAUCUAUCAUUGAG